GGACGAACGCUGGCGGCGUGCCUAACACAUGCAAGUCGAGCGAGGAGAUUCCUUCGGGAUGAUCCUAGCGGCGGACGGGUGAGUAACACGUGGGCAACCUGCCUCGUAGAGAGGAAUAGCCUUCCGAAAGGAGAUUAAUACCUCAUAACAUUGCAGUUUCGCAUGGAACAGCAAUUAAAGGAGUAAUCCGCUAUGAGAUGGGCCCGCGGCGCAUUAGCUAGUUGGUGAGGUAACGGCUCACCAAGGCGACGAUGCGUAGCCGACCUGAGAGGGUGAUCGGCCACAUUGGGACUGAGACACGGCCCAGACUCCUACGGGAGGCAGCAGUGGGGAAUAUUGCACAAUGGGGGAAACCCUGAUGCCAGCAACGCCGCGUGAGUGAUGACGGCCUUCGGGUUGUAAAGCUCUGUCUUCAGGGACGAUAAUGACGGUACCUGAGGAGGAAGCCACGGCUAACUACGUGCCAGCCGCCGC
rnacentral:rRNA from 1 species